GUAUCUUAGAUCAGUUGGUUAGAGUAGACGGCUCAUAACCGUCCGAUCGUAGAUUCGAGUCCUACAAGGUGAA
rnacentral:tRNA from 1 species